rnacentral:rRNA from 1 species
UACGGGGGGGGCAAGCGUUGUUCGGAAUUACUGGGCGUAAAGGGCUCGUAGGUGGCCAACUAAGUCAGACGUGAAAUCCCUCGGCUUAACCGAGGAACUGCCCUCCAAACUGCUUGGCUUGAGACCGGGAGAGGUGAGUGGAAUUCCCAGUGUAGCGGUGAAAUGCGUAGAUAUUGGGAGGAACACCAGUGGCGAAGGCGGUUCUCUGGGCAUUACCUGACGCUGAGGAGCGAAAGUGUGGGGAGCGAACAGG